rnacentral:tRNA from 1 species
GGGGUUGUGGCUCAGUGGUAGAGUGCCUGUUUGGCAUGCAGAAAGUUCUGAGUUCAAUCCCCAGCAUCUCCA